rnacentral:ncRNA from 1 species
GUAAAUCCUUUGACGAGGAAUAGUAGCUAUGUUGUUGAAUUCUAGAGAGUUGAGGAAGGUGGAAUCUCAAUAUUACAACCUGUAGUGAAUGGGCCUAAGAGGAGUAAAUUGAAAUCUAUGUGUAUAGAGAGUAGUGGUUAACGUUAGCCGUACGUUACAGCGGAUAGGACAUGUUAGUGUCUGAUAAAGAGGUGUUUUAAAAAGCACAAUUUAGGUGGUACCGCGGGUGAUAUCUCCGUCCUAGUU